UCAUCUGUACUACAUAUGUACUAUUGCAUCUACUUUAAUAAAUGCCUACCAUAAAUGUUGCAAGCUGACUUCAUCAGCAAGUAUGGACUGAGCAGGGUAAGGAGGCUGGGAAUUGAGGUUCCAGCUCUACUAUAGGCUUUCUGAGUGGCUGGGACACCUCCAUUUCUCUCACUGGGCCUCAUCCGCAAAAUGAGACAUGGGGUGAGAUUAACACUACGCUCUUCCCUUAACAACCUCAGGCUCUCUGAUACUGUCCACUGCAACACAGAUCUCAAACACCGGUUUACCCCACACCCAAAUAUGGUGGUUACUUCUAGACUUUGACCAUUUUGCUUGCCUAGUUCUCAGCUCUCCGGUAAGAAAAGACAGCCAUGCCUGACUUCUGUUGUGAAAGGGAACACAGAGGGCAUCGUCAUGGGGAUUCCGAAAAUGGGUCCAGUUUUGGCCAGGGGGACCCCUGGAGCUUGCCCAUUGGACUUGGAGCUAAAAGCAUCUUAGCAACUAAGACAGCCGGUCUUUAUAGCCUGGAUGAAAUUUGUAUCUAUUUCCCAGAUGGACAAGAGCCUAGAAGAUCCCAGCCUUGCCACUGGGUAUGAGCACAGGACAGGGGGACGCUCAAUGCUAAGGCUGCCAGAGAAAAUACAGGACUUCCGGUUAAAUUUGAAUUUCAAAUAAACAAGUAAUUUUUAAAGUAUAA
rnacentral:lncRNA from 1 species